rnacentral:rRNA from 1 species
ACUGGCGAACGGGUGAGUAACGCGUAGAUUACCUGCCCCUAACUCAGGCAUAACAGUUCUAACGGAUUGCUAAUACCUGAUGAGGAGGAAGCUCCAAAGUUUACGGUUAGGGAUGGGUCUGCGUCUGAUUAGGUAGUUGGUGAGGUAACGGCUCACCAAGCCUACGAUCAGUAGCUGGUCUGAGAGGACGAACAGCCACACUGGAACUGAGACACGGUCCAGACUCCUACGGGAGGCAGCAGUGAGGAAUAUUGGUCAAUGGUAGCAAUACUGAACCAGCGACGCCGCGUGUGGGAUGACGGGGCUACGCCUUGUAAACCACUGUCGGAUGGGACGAAAAGCGGGUUUCACCCGCCGGGACGGUACCAUCAAAGGAAGGAUCGGCUAACUACGUGCCAGCAGCCGCGGUAAUACGUAGGAUCCAAGCGUUGUCCGGAUUUACUGGGUGUAAAGGGUGCGUAGGCGGGCAGGUGCGUCAGAGGUGAAAUAUCCCGGCUUAACUGGGAGGGUGCCUUUGAUACGGCUUGUCUUGAGUGCGAGAGAGGAUGAUGGAAUUCCUGGUGUAGCGGUGAAAUGCGUAGAUAUCAGGAGGAACACCGGUGGCGAAGGCGGUCAUCUGGCUCGCAACUGACGCUGAGGCACGAAAGCGUGGGGAUCAAACAGGAUUAGAUACCCUGGUAGUCCACGCCUUANACGAUGUAUGCUUGA